CUGUCGGCCGCAUCUGCCACUGGGUCUGACUCUGGCUUCACUCUUCUUUGCUUCACUCACUUCUUGCUGCUGGCAUCUCACAUACCAAUGUCAUUAGGUACUGUCUGCCCUGGUCCUCCUACAAUCCAGCCAGUGCAGUUCCCGUCACAGCAAGUGCUUCCUCUCUCGGAGCAGACAAACUAACUGAAGCCACAGCCGGAAGCAGGCUGACCACAAGUGCUAAGGUUCUGGUUAGUUCUUUUCUAGGUUCAAAAGAAGAGGCUGUUCUAAGAAAGACUACCGAGUAAUCAAUCACCUCCUCAGAGAAAGUCUGCUCAGGUCAGUCCUGCCUAGACACACCGAGAAAGAAGUGAUGGAAGAUGUUAUCCGUCUCACCAUCUACAGGACUUCAUGAAGAAGUGAGAAGGUAACUCUACACCCACCAGCCCCUGCACUUGGUUCCUUGCAUUGCCUCUGGCUGGAAGCUGUUGUCUCCAACUUCAGAAAGUGUCUGGAGAUUUCACAGGCUCUCUCUUGGGUCAAGAGAUGACAAGAAACACACAGUUUCUAUCUACAGCGAGAAGAGGUCCUGUCACCUUGUCUGUAGGCAGUUCCAGCAGGAAUUAGGAAAGCUGUCACUCCACAAGUCUCCAGGAGUCUCUGGGAUCUUCAACCAUGGGCUAAAGGAGAGCUGCAGAAUAAUCCAACAUCCCCAGCCUUCUGCAAUUAGGCAAGAGGUAUUUUUCCUGAGGACCACAUACCCUAAAAGAGCCUGUAUCAAAGACAUAAGGGACCAGCUCUGUGAACACGGCAAGUAAUAACAGACAGAAAACGUGAUGAGAAAAGAGAGACCGGGAUUUUGAAAUCCUAUUUCCUGAAUGCCAUCUCACCAGGCACACGGAAGAAUAAAAUUAAGGAAUCAAGA